GUCCACGCCGUAAACGUUGGGCACUAGGUGUGGGGAGGAAUCAACUCUCUCCGUGCCGUAGCUAACGCAUUAAGUGCCCCGCCUGGGGAGUACGGCCGCAAGGCUAAAACUCAAAGGAAUUGACGGGGGCCCGCACAAGCGGCGGAGCAUGUUGCUUAAUUCGAUGCAACGCGAAGAACCUUACCUGGGUUUGACAUGUACGGAAAAGCCAUAGAGAUAUGGUGUCCUUCGGGCCGGUACACAGGUGGUGCAUGGCUGUCGU
rnacentral:rRNA from 1 species